rnacentral:rRNA from 1 species
AACGAACGCUGGCGGCAUGCCUAACACAUGCAAGUCGAACGAGACCUUCGGGUCUAGUGGCGCACGGGUGCGUAACGCGUGGGAAUCUGCCCAAAGGUUCGGAAUAACAGUUAGAAAUGACUGCUAAUACCGGAUAAUGUCGCAAGACCAAAGAUUUAUUGCCUUUGGAUGAGCCCGCGUAGGAUUAGCUAGUUGGUGGGGUAAAAGCCUACCAAGGCGACGAUCCUUAGCUGGCUGAGAGGAUGAUCAGCCACCACUGGGACUGAGACACGGCCCAGACUCCUACGGGAGGCAGCAGUGGGGAAGUAUUGGACAAUGGGCGGAAAGCCUGAUCCAGCAAUGCCGCGUGAGUGAUGAAGGCCUUA